GUAGUGCUUCUUAAAUGUUAAUGUGCAUAUGCCAAAUCACGUGGGCAUCUUGUUAAAAUGCAGAGUUUUGUGUUGAGGGUCUGGGGAGGGCUGAGAUUGUGCAGUUCUAAGGAGAUGCCAGGUGGUGCCAAUUCUGCUGCACUGGACACCACACUUAGAGUGGCGAGGUCACUAAAUAAUAGGAGCGAAAGGAUUGUGAGAACACCGACAUCAGUGAGAAGGAGGCUGGCUGCGGAGACCAUGAAAAUGAAAUCUAUGCAUGGAGUGCAACCUUGCUGAGAAUAUUUGUUUCCUUUCUAUAUUGUCUCUCCAUGGCCUGCUCGUUCUCUUCAGGUACCAUCUAUACAAUCCUAGAAUGAAGUUCAAAGUCAACAAAGCUCAUCAUGUGCUCAGAGUUUCAAAUCAGGUUUUCUUCUCUACUGGUUAGUAUAAGUAGAUGGCCAAGAAGUACUAGCUAUCUGAGAAAGUCUCUAACAUGAUAGGUUGGAAUGAAACAAGCAAAAAACCCACAACAGCUUAGAGAAUAUACAGGCAAGACAGGGAGAAAAUGAAGUAAUAGAAAAUAACCUAUUAUUAAAAACCUCAGAAGGAAAGGAAAAGAUACUCCAUCUAUGGAAAAAAAAUCAAGAUGCUGUCUAUAAAAAGAAAUAUUUGGAGGACAAAAAUGUGCUUCUGGAAAUUAAAAACAUGAUACUAGAAACUAGAAACUCAGUAGAAGAAAAGGAAAUCACCUGGAAAGUAGAAUAAAAAAUAUAGAAAUGGAAACUAAGCUAAAAGCGCAAGAAAGUUAAAGGAUCAGGAGAUCUAAUAUCUGAAUAAUGUGAGUUUCCAGAGUGAAAAGAACAGAGAACACAAAGAGGAGGAAAUCAUCAAAGAAAUAGUUCAAGAAAAUUUCUCUGCAUUAAAAGACAUGAGUUGUCAGAUUGGAAGGGUCUGUUGAAUUUACAACAGAAUGAGUAAAGACAGAUUUACAACAAUGCCCAUGUUGUGAAGUUUCAGAACACUGGGAACAAAUAAGUUUCUACAACCUUCCAAAGGAAAAAAAAAAUAUCAUUUUUUUGUAUUUAUCAUACAAAGGAUUGGUAACAAAAGUGGCUUUGAACUUUUGAGUCACAACCUUGAAGACAAGAAAAUAAGAGCAGUGCCUUCAAAAUUCUGAAGGAAAAUUAUUUCCUUUCUAGAUUUCUAUACAUAAACUAUCACUUCGAUUUGAGAGGUGGAAAACUACAUUUUCAGAUGUGUAAAAUCUGUAAAACUGGGUCUUAUGCAACCUUUCUUAAGAGGAAUUAGGAGAUCCAGUUAGAAGAGAGUCCCCUGGAGGAUGAGGAGAUCCCAGAAUGAGAGCUGUGCCAGUGAUGCAGAUUAGAGGAGUUGACUAGAGAGACAGACUGAGUGCUGUCAUCAACAAUUCCUCUGCUGACAUUUACUUUUUUUUCAACUUUAGGAAAGCAUGCCUGGGUUUCAUACCAGCUUCUAAUCUUGUCUUGACCACAUAUUGAUGAAAUUCCUACAUCACUGCUGCUUAGACCUUCUAAGGUCAUUUAUUUCACCCCACAGAUUUUUUUCUGUUUUCAUUGACUCCUGAAGGCUAGUUGGCAAGGACUGAGGUCAGGUUACGGCAGGUUUAGAAGAAGAAAAUACUCAAUUCAGAGUAUAGUCCAUCCAUUCAGAAUGCUAGACAUCCUUUGCCUGGCCCACAGGACAGUCCUGUCUGAUGGCCCAGUUGUAGCAAGCCCUAUGUUACUGAGGACUCACUGGUAUGCCUGACCCUACGACUUCACUGGAAGGGGCUCUCAUAAACAUUCAGGGCAGCUGGAGACAAAGUGUGACCUGGAGACAUCUUCAGCUUUUCUUUUCUUGGAAGCCUUCAUCUAAAAGUUGUGAUAUUAUCUGCGUUUUGUUGUUGUUGUUGUUUGUUUGUUUGUUUAGACGGAGUCUCUGUCGCCCAGGCUGGAGUGCA